rnacentral:rRNA from 1 species
UACAGAGGGGGCAAGCGUUGUUCGGAAUUACUGGGCGUAAAGGGCGCGUAGGCGGCCUGUUAAGUCAGACGUGAAAUCCCUCGGCUCAACCGGGGAAUUGCGUCUGAUACUGGCGGGCUUGAAUUCGGGAGAGGGAUGUGGAAUUCCAGGUGUAGCGGUGAAAUGCGUAGAUAUCUGGAGGAACACCGGUGGCGAAGGCGGCAUCCUGGACCGACAUUGACGCUGAGGCGCGAAAGCCAGGGGAGCAAACGGG